rnacentral:rRNA from 1 species
GUCUAUGACCAUAUCACCUUCAACACGCGCAGAUACCAUCUGACCCAGGAAGCCCAGCAGGGUUGGGCAUAGUCAGCACUUGAACUAAAGCAAAUGAUCAUUUGAUGUCACUGAAU